GUGGGGAAUCUUCCGCAAUGGACGAAAGUCUGACGGAGCAACGCCGCGUGAACGAUGACGGCCUUCGGGUUGUAAAGUUCUGUUAUACGGGACGAAUGGUACGACGGUCAAUACCCGUCGUAAGUGACGGUACCGUAAGAGAAAGCCACGGCUAACUACGUGCCAGCAGCCGCGGUAAUACGUAGGUGGCAAGCGUUGUCCGGAAUUAUUGGGCGUAAAGGGCGCGCAGGCGGCGUCGUAAGUCGGUCUUAAAAGUGCGGGGCUUAACCCCGUGAGGGGACCGAAACUGCGAUGCUAGAGUAUCGGAGAGGAAAGCGGAAUUCCUAGUGUAGCGGUGAAAUGCGUAGAUAUUAGGAGGAACACCAGUGGCGAAAGCGGCUUUCUGGACGACAACUGACGCUGAGGCGCGAAAGCCAGGGGAGCGAACGGGAUUAGAUACCCCAGUAGUCC
rnacentral:rRNA from 1 species